rnacentral:rRNA from 2 species
UACGUAGGUGGCAAGCGUUGUCCGGAAUUAUUGGGCGUAAAGCGUACGCAGGCGGUUUCUUAAGUCUGAUGUGAAAGCCCACGGCUCAACCGUGGAGGGUCAUUGGAAACUGGGGAACUUGAGUACAGAAGAGGAGAGUGGAAUUCCACGUGUAGCGGUGAAAUGCGUAGAGAUGUGGAGGAACACCAGUGGCGAAGGCGACUCUCUGGUCUGUAACUGACGCUGAGGUACGAAAGCGUGGGGAGCGAACAGG